CUUCUUCUCACUUAUUUUCUAGAUCCGGCGCAGUCUGGUUUCAGGCCGGGGCAUGGUUCUGAGACAGCCUUGGUCACCUUAGUCGAUGAUCUACGCCGGAAACUGGACAGGGGGAGUGUGUCCCUGCUGGUUCUGCUGGACCUCUCAGCGGCCUUCGAUACCGUCUAUCACAGUAUCCUUCUGGGGCACCUUGCCGGAAUGGGUCUCGAGGAUUUUGGAUUUUUAAGCCUGAGACAUGGGCCAAAGCUGGCUGCAGAUCUCCCCAACCCGUCUACCCUUACACAAUGGUCGAAGCCAGAGGAAAAGUGUUUUCAGAACACUUUCAGAGAGGCUUUGUGGGAUUUUGCUGGAAAUACCCAUUUGUAUUUCAAAUAUGUGACAAGAAACUACGUGUGAAACUGAGUGCUGUGGGAGAGAAUGGCUGCAGUUCAACAUUCUUUCAGUAGGGUUGCUGUGAAUUUUCCGGGCUGUAUGGCCAUGUUCCAGAAAUGUUCUCUCCUGAUGUUUCACCCACAUCUAUGGCAAGAAUACUCUUUUGGCCUCGCCUACUUUGCCAGUCCCUCCUACCUCCCAUUGUGCAAGCCUAUGUGAUGUUCACAUCAGCAAAGGUUCCUUGCCCUUGAUCUAAUCCAGUGAUCCCCAAACUUGGGUCCUCCAGCUGUUUGGGACUUCAGGUUGGCUAACACUCAGGAAUUCUGGGAGCUGACGUCCUAAAUGUCUAAAUUUGUAAAAGCCUGCUAUAAUCCUUUCCACGUAAGCAGUAAAGUUUGAAUCCCACACAUUCCUAACAUGAUGGAAAAAAGGGCACCAAAUCCAUGCCCCAGAAACUUCUGAAAACACCUGUGUGAUCUACAAGGUGAGAAAGUGUGAAUAGGGACUGAAGAUGAAAGCAGGUGAAGAGGAAGAACUCCAUCAGGAUCUAAAGAGAAAGGGGAAAAGAUAGGUGCAGAAUGGAAUUAGGUGGGAAGCAAGAGAAGUUGAUGAGGGUGAUUUUUGGUACAUACAUUCAGUUAGAAAACAAAAUCUUCACUAGAAUGGGAUAGAGAUACAUAGAAUUUACAUAUGAAUAGGCAGCACAUUUAGAAAUAAUAGCUAUAUAGCAGUGGUUCCCAACCUGUGGUCUGUGGACCACCAGUGGUCAGCAAGAACUAAAAUAUGGUCCAUGACCUCACCAUUACUAUUACAGAUAAUAACACAGCACAACCAAAAAAAUUGUUCUUAGAGGGUGGGAGGAACCCUCUUCAUUGACCGGAGUUCAGGGUUGAGACCCCUGGUCACUGUGCCUUUAUGUCUCAUUUCUGUACUUCAAAAGGUAACCUGGCUCUUUUAGAUUGGGUUGCCUGUUUUUUGUUUUGUUUUGUUUUUUGUUCUUUUGCUGUCCUGCUAUCUUAGCUUCAUAUUACCAAAGGGAAAAACACAUCUGCAGAUGAAUCAGUUGUGUCUAUUGUACUAUAUGUACUAGAUGAGAAUGACAGUCCAACUGUUAUGAAUAAAAAACACUAACCUGCUGAUUUGUGACGUGUUUACAUCCCAGCAUCAGCAAUGAUACACAGCUUGCCUUUUUUUGCUACUCAUUUACAAGCAGCAGGUCUCUACUUCGGGAGCCAACCAAUUAAGCCAGAGAGAGGCUGGUAUCUAGGUCCAGUCUAUUUCUGCUUAAAGGGAGACUGACUAUGGGCUACAGAGUUUGGGAUUAUUUUCUGCCUGUAAUGAUAGCCGCUUUUUCCAAAACGAGUUAAGUCAAUAGCCAUUACGCAUUUUCCGAAGUGAAUAUUUGAACAAUUAUUGGUGAAGCUGCUCCAGAAACAGAUUCUGUUAUUGUAGAGGUACAGAUGCCAGCCAAUAUUGCAAAACCUUCCAUGUCUGCUUUUAAUUCUCAUAGUCUUAGUUGUUUGGAACUUGUCUAAAAGCUCCUUGUAUCCAUGCAACUCCAUUCUUGGACAUAUUGCUGCUAAGUAAAUCAGAUUGCUAGCAAAAGGUUUGCCAUCUGCUUGAUCUUGAUUGACUUCGUUUUUUCAUAAUAGGGAAAGUACAACGUCCCUAUUAAAACAGCUCCACUGGCUUCCAAUAAGUAGCUGGGACCAAUUUAAGGUGCAGGUUAUGACCUAUAAAGUUCUAAAUCAGUGAUUCCAAAAGUGGGUGCU
ensembl:lncRNA